GCUAUACUGCAGUCGAGCGAACAGAAGGGAGCUUGCUCCCGGAUGUUAGCGGCGGACGGGUGAGUAACACGUGGGUAACCUGCCUGUAAGACUGGGAUAACUCCGGGAAACCGGAGCUAAUACCGGAUAGUUCCUUGAACCGCAUGGUUCAAGGAUGAAAGACGGUUUCGGCUGUCACUUACAGAUGGACCCGCGGCGCAUUAGCUAGUUGGUGGGGUAAUGGCUCACCAAGGCGACGAUGCGUAGCCGACCUGAGAGGGUGAUCGGCCACACUGGGACUGAGACACGGCCCAGACUCCUACGGGAGGCAGCAGUAGGGAAUCUUCCGCAAUGGACGAAAGUCUGACGGAGCAACGCCGCGUGAGUGAUGAAGGUUUUCGGAUCGUAAAGCUCUGUUGUUAGGGAAGAACAAGUGCGAGAGUAACUGCUCGCACCUUGACGGUACCUAACCAGAAAGCCACGGCUAACUACGUGCCAGCAGCCGCGGUAAUACGUAGGUGGCAAGCGUUGUCCGGAAUUAUUGGGCGUAAAGGGCUCGCAGGCGGUUUCUUAAGUCUGAUGUGAAAGCCCCCGGCUCAACCGGGGAGGGUCAUUGGAAACUGGGAAACUUGAGUGCAGAAGAGGAGAGUGGAAUUCCACGUGUAGCGGUGAAAUGCGUAGAGAUGUGGAGGAACACCAGUGGCGAAGGCGACUCUCUGGUCUGUAACUGACGCUGAGGAGCGAAAGCGUGGGGAGCGAACAGGAUUAGAUACCCUGGUAGUCCACGCCGUAAACGAUGAGUGCUAAGUGNUAGGGGUUUCCGCCCCUUAGUGCUGCAGCUAACGCAUUAAGCACUCCGCCUGGGGAGUACGGUCGCAAGACUGAAACUCAAAGGAAUUGACGGGGCCCGCA
rnacentral:rRNA from 1 species